AAAAUGGUCUUUUUUAAGACCAUUUUUUGUAUUUAAAGUAGCAAAU
rfam:Proteus mirabilis strain HI4320, complete genome